rnacentral:tRNA from 1 species
GGGAUUGUGUCUCAGCGGUAGAGCACUCGCCUAGCACGUGUGAGGACUUGAGUUCGAUCCUCAGCAACACA